CCUACGGGUGGCAGCAGUGAGGAAUAUUGGUCAAUGGGCGUAAGCCUGAACCAGCCAAGUCGCGUGAGGGAUGAAGGUUCUAUGGAUCGUAAACCUCUUUUAUAAGGGAAUAAAGUGCGGGACGUGUCCCGUGUUGUACGUACCUUAUGAAUAAGGAUCGGCUAACUCCGUGCCAGCAGCCGCGGUAAUACGGAGGAUCCGAGCGUUAUCCGGAUUUAUUGGGUUUAAAGGGUGCGUAGGCGGCCUUGUAAGUCAGCGGUGAAAGUCUGUGGCUCAACCAUAGAAUUGCCGUUGAAACUGGGAGGCUUGAGUAUGUUUGAGGUAGGCGGAAUGCGUGGUGUAGCGGUGAAAUGCUUAGAUAUCACGCAGAACCCCGAUUGCGAAGGCAGCUUGCCAAGCUAUGACUGACGCUGAUGCACGAAAGCGUGGGGAGCAAACAGGAUUAGAUACCCCGGUAGUC
rnacentral:rRNA from 1 species